CUUGAAAUGGAAAAGGCUUUUUCCAUGUGUUGAUCAUUAAUUGUUGCCAAAGGCCAAAAGGGGCUUUCAGGAAUGCUAAAUGUAAUCUCUGGCCUUUCCUGAACCUCCUUUCAUGUUCUCUGCCCCAUCUACACACCACAUUUUCGCCCUCAGUGAAUUCAGACACUUUCAGUUUAGAGGAUAAUGCCCUCUGAACAACCUCAGGCCAAAAGGGCAGAGACAGAGAAGCCUCUGGAGGUUCGGAAGGACAGAUUCAUCAGACGGCAGAGCCGGAAGCGAUUUUACACCCCUUCUGCAGGAGUGAGAGGAGUAGCUGUUUGACCCCCGCUGCCUCAGCUGAGGCCAAAAGGCACGGCUGAUUUCCACUUAAGGAUGUCAAAGAGGAAAAGUCUAAUUUCCUGGUUCCUCAUCAGAGUGAAUACUAAUGUCCUUCCUUCUGGGAGGGUUCUGAGGAUGAGACGUGAAGGCCUGAGGAAGCCAGCUGCCAGUUAAGAAAUACAAGUAUCUGAG
rnacentral:lncRNA from 1 species